rnacentral:rRNA from 1 species
GACGUAGGGCGCGAGCGUUGUCCGGAUUUAUUGGGCGUAAAGAGCGUGUAGGCGGCCAGGUAGGUCUGCUGUGAAAACUCGAGGCUCAACCUCGAGACGUCGGCGGAAACCAUCUGGCUAGAGUCCGGAAGGGGCGAGUGGAAUUCCUGGUGUAGCGGUGAAAUGCGCAGAUAUCAGGAGGAACACCAAUGGGCGAAGGCAGCUCGCUGGGACGGUACUGACGACUGGAGGCGACGAAAGCGUGGGGAGCAAACAGG